UAGAGUAUCCUGGCUCAGGAUGAACGCUGGCGGCGUGCCUAAUACAUGCAAGUCGAGCGAACAGACGAGGAGCUUGCUCCUCUGACGUUAGCGGCGGACGGGUGAGUAACACGUGGAUAACCUACCUAUAAGACUGGGAUAACUUCGGGAAACCGGAGCUAAUACCGGAUAAUAUAUUGAACCGCAUGGUUCAAUAGUGAAAGACGGUUUUGCUGUCACUUAUAGAUGGAUCCGCGCCGCAUUAGCUAGUUGGUAAGGUAACGGCUUACCAAGGCAACGAUGCGUAGCCGACCUGAGAGGGUGAUCGGCCACACUGGAACUGAGACACGGUCCAGACUCCUACGGGAGGCAGCAGUAGGGAAUCUUCCGCAAUGGGCGAAAGCCUGACGGAGCAACGCCGCGUGAGUGAUGAAGGUCUUCGGAUCGUAAAACUCUGUUAUUAGGGAAGAACAAAUGUGUAAGUAACUAUGCACGUCUUGACGGUACCUAAUCAGAAAGCCACGGCUAACUACGUGCCAGCAGCCGCGGUAAUACGUAGGUGGCAAGCGUUAUCCGGAAUUAUUGGGCGUAAAGCGCGCGUAGGCGGUUUUUUAAGUCUGAUGUGAAAGCCCACGGCUCAACCGUGGAGGGUCAUUGGAAACUGGAAAACUUGAGUGCAGAAGAGGAAAGUGGAAUCCAUGUGUAGCGGUGAAAUGCGCAGAGAUAGGAGGAACACCAGUGGCGAAGGCGACUUGUCUGUAACACGCUUGAAAGCGG
rnacentral:rRNA from 1 species